ACUAUUUUGGCAGAUUAGUGUAAUAAAUUUAGAAUUUAUUUUAGUAUACUUAAUGUUAUACAUGCAGUA
rnacentral:tRNA from 1 species